GACGAACGCUGGCGGCGUGCUUAACACAUGCAAGUCGAACGAAGUGGCGAACGGGUGAGUAACGCGUAAUCAACCUGCCCUUCAGAGGGGGUCAACAGUUGGAAACGACUGCUAAUACCCCAUACUGAAGGAGGGGAUUGCGUCUGAUUGGCUAGGUGGAGGGGUAACGGCCCACCAAGGCGAUGAUCCGUAGCCGGUCUGAGGGGAUGAACGGCCAAAUUGGGACUGGGGACCGGCCCAGAAUCCCACGGGAGGGAGCAGGGGGGAAUCAUCCGCAAUGGACGAAAGUCUGGCGGAGCAACGCCGCGUGAGUGAUGACGGCCUUCGGGUUGUAAAGGUCUGUUAAUCGGGACGCGGUACCGGAAUAGAAAGCCACGGCUAACUACGUGCCAGCAGCCGCGGUAAUUC
rnacentral:rRNA from 1 species